rnacentral:rRNA from 1 species
UACAGAGGUCUCAAGCGUUGUUCGGAUUCAUUGGGCGUAAAGGGUGCGUAGGUGGCGCGGUAAGUCGGGUGUGAAAUUUCGGAGCUUAACUCCGAAACUGCAUUCGAUACUGCCGUGCUUGAGGACUGGAGAGGAGACUGGAAUUUACGGUGUAGCAGUGAAAUGCGUAGAGAUCGAUAAGGAAGACCAGUGGCGAAGGCGGGUCUCUGGACAGUUCCUGACACUGAGGCACGAAGGCCAGGGGAGCAAACGGG